UGCAAACACACAUGCACAGCUACGCAAGAGGAACACACCCCCUUUCAAAAAGACCACAUUCUACACCGAGGAGUUGCAGGCUACCGGCUCCUUCAAGGUGAUUCCUGGUCGUACUUUUUUCCACUUUUGGGCUGUCUAACUCAUCGUAUCCCAUCAGCAUAUUGACUGACGUUUGGAGGACAGGAACAGGACACGCACCAUCUCCUCACCCAUCAGCACUACAGAAAUGUCGGACACCGAGAGCGCUGCUGCCCCUGCCGCCGAGGCCCCGGUUCCUGAUGCUUGUGCUGUUCUCAAGGCUGACCUGGAUAAAUGUGUGGCCGAAAAGGGAGUAGAGGCAUGCAAAGACCUCAAAGAGGCCUUCGAUGCCUGUGUGAAGAGUGUGACGGAGGGGACAUCAUGAGCCAGGAGUUGCUCCCCAAACCUCAAUGUCCACUGCACUGAGUCCUUCGAGUUCCCAGCAUUCCCUUCUGCACACCAGCACAGGACUGAACGGCGGCAACAACACCGACCAGCAUCACAGUGUAAAAACACUGUGUUGAUUCGGGCUGAGCUUGGGAGCUGGCAGCAGACGCCAUAGUUUCCUCCUCUGCCCUACUUCCCUCCCACCUCUGUUUAAAACUUACCGAUGUCCUUCAGUCUUCUGCCAUUCCCUCUGUCCCUCUAUGGCUGAUGUAUGGUGCAUUGACUUGUUGAUACUUCCAGAGAACUAAUGGCUAGUCUUGUAAAUUCUUAACUUGAAAUGAAAUGUCAAAGGAAAUAAAAGUACAAAAUGAUUGGUAUACAGAAAUUAAAGUGUGGGCC